rnacentral:rRNA from 1 species
UUUCGAAGAGUUUACUUGGAGAAAUUUUUAGUGGCGGACGGGUGAGUAACGCGUGGGUAACCUACCCAUAAAACCGGGACAACCCUUGGAAACGAGGGCUAAUACCGAAUAAUCUUUUGAUGCGGCAUCGUAUUAAAAGGAAAGGUGGCCUCUGUAUAUGCUACCGAUUAUGGAUGGACCCGCGUCUGAUUAGCUAGUUGGUGGGGUAAAGGCCUACCAAGGCGACGAUCAGUAGCCGGCCUGAGAGGGUGAACGGCCACACUGGGACUGAGACACGGCCCAGACUCCUACGGGAGGCAGCAGUGGGGAAUCUUCCGCAAUGGACGAAAGUCUGACGGAGCAACGCCGCGUGUAUGAUGAAGGUCUUCGGAUUGUAAAGUACUGUCUUUGGGGAAGAAUGAUGUAUUUGAAAAUAUUGAGUACAUAUGACGGUACCCAAGGAGGAAGCCCCGGCUAACUACGUGCCAGCAGCCGCGGUAAUACGUAGGGGGCAAGCGUUGUCCGGAAUUAUUGGGCGUAAAGGGCGCGUAGGCGGAUAGUUAAGUCCGGUGUGAAAGAUCAGGGCUCAACCCUGAGAGUGCAUCGGAAACUGGUUAUCUUGAGGACAGGAGAGGAAAGUGGAAUUCCACGUGUAGCGGUGAAAUGCGUAGAUAUGUGGAGGAACACCAGUGGCGAAGGCGACUUUCUGGACUGUAACUGACGCUGAGGCGCGAAAGCGUGNGGAGCAAACAGGAUUAGAUACCCUGGUAGUCCANGCUGUAAACGAUGAGUGCUAGGUGUAGGAGGUAUCGACCCCCCCUGUG